rnacentral:rRNA from 1 species
GUUUCCGUAGGUGAACCUUGCGGAAGGAUCAUUAUCGAAUAAACUUGAACAGGCUGUUGCUGGUCCCAGGACAAUGUGCACGCUUGUCAUCUUUAUCAUUUCUCCCAACUGUGCACAUAUUGUAGACCCUGGAUUUUGUUCCGAGUGGGGACUGCUGUGCUUCAAAAGAAGUCGGCUUUCCCCUUGAAGGUCUAUGUUUGUUUUUCACAACCUCUCGAAUGUGUUUAGAAUGUUGAAAUAAAGAAAAGUUAAUAAAAUACAACUUUCAGCAACGGAUCUCUUGGCUCUCGCAUCGAUGAAGAACGCAGCGAAAUGCGAUAAGUAAUGUGAAUUGCAGAAUUCAGUGAAUCAUCGAAUCUUUGAACGCAUCUUGCGCUCCUUGGUAUUCCGAGGAGCAUGCCUGUUUGAGUGUCAUUUAAACUCUCAAACCACAUCAUUUGUUUGACGUGGCUUUGGAUGUGGGGGUUGCCGGCUUUCUUCUCAGAGAGCCCUGCUCCCCUGAAAUGCAUUAGUGGUAUCUGGAGUGGAAAACUGCUAGGUGUGAUAAUACUGUCUAUGCCUUUGGUUAUGCCACAAUGUGCUGCUUCUAAACCGCACAUUUUUGUGCUUUUGACAAACUUGACCUCAAAUCAGGUAGGACUACCCGCUGAACUUA